rnacentral:rRNA from 1 species
GACCAGACUCCUACGGGAGGCAGCAGUGAGGAAUAUUGGUCAAUGGGCGGGAGCCUGAACCAGCCAAGUCGCGUGAGGGAAGAAGGUACUGAGUAUUGUAAACCUCUUUUGCCAGGGGACAAAGGCGGCCACGGGUGGCCGUAAGAGGGUACCUGGAGAAAAAGCAUCGGCUAACUCCGUGCCAGCAGCCGCGGUAAUACGGAGGAUGCGAGCGUUAUCCGGAUUUAUUGGGUGUAAAGGGUGCGUAGACGGGAAAACAAGUUAGUUGUGAAAUCCCUCGGCUUAACUGAGGAACUGCAACUAAAACUAUUUUUCUUGAGUGUUGGAGAGGAAAGUGGAAUUCCUAGUGUAGCGGUGAAAUGCGUAGAUAUUAGGAGGAACACCAGUGGCGAAGGCGACUUUCUGGACAAUAACUGACGUUGAGGCACGAAAGUGUGGGGAGCAAACAGGAUUAGAUACCCCAGUAAA